AACGAACGCUGGCGGCAGGCUUAACACAUGCAAGUCGAGCGCCCCGCAAGGGGAGCGGCAGACGGGUGAGUAACGCGUGGGAACGUACCUUUUGGUUCGGAACAACUCCGGGAAACUGGAGCUAAUACCGGAUAAGCCCUAACGGGGAAAGAUUUAUCGCCGAAAGAUCGGCCCGCGUCUGAUUAGCUAGUUGGUGAGGUAACGGCUCACCAAGGCGACGAUCAGUAACUGGUCUGAGAGGAUGAUCAGCCACACUGGGACUGAGACACGGCCCAGACUCCUACGGGAGGCAGCAGUGGGGAAUAUUGGACAAUGGGCGCAAGCCUGAUCCAGCCAUGCCGCGUGAGUGAUGAAGGCCUUAGGGUUGUAAAGCUCUUUUGUCCGGGAAGAUAAUGACUGUACCGGAAGAAUAAGCCCCGGCUAACUUCGUG
rnacentral:rRNA from 1 species